rnacentral:lncRNA from 1 species
UUGCUCAACAAUCAGCUCAGACCUCAUCGCAGUCCAGGUAAAACACAUUAUGUCCAUUAUACAUAUAAAUACUGUUUAAGAAGGCUGCUGCAGGGUUCUUUACAUGACAGUUUCUGUGUUUGCAGGAGUUUACUGGAAGAAGCCGAGGACCUUUCACUCUCCCUUUCACAUCAGGUGGAAGACUGGAAGCUUGUGCUGCUGUUUGUGCCCGCAGAUUUCAUAUGUGCCUGUUCGUCACAUGUUGAAGAAGAUAUUAAGGCUGCGGUGCAGGAAGUGGAAGCAGCUCUGCAGAUACUGCAGAAACGGCUGCAUCGUACUUUAGUUCAUGUGGUCACCUGGAGUGGAUAUCAUCAGCAAGAUAACACGUGUGAGUGUAACGCCAAACGCCUACAUAAAGCAACUCUCCUGAAAGCACUGCAGGAUACUCUGAGCCAUGUCUUCAAAAAUCCAAAGUGGAACAACA